AAUGUAAUAACUAGCCAAAAUACAGCUAGUGCAAAUUGUGGUCUGGUUAGUGAUGUAGAUGAGUAAUAACACAAUAUAUAUGAAUACACAGUCUAUAUGAAAGCUGAAAUUUAGUAAAGAGUCAGUAUACAGUUAGUGCAAUUUAAAGUAACAAAU